rnacentral:rRNA from 1 species
GCGGGAGGCGAAGGUUGAGACAGAGGGCGAUGUUGCUGCAGGCCCGAAAACCCAGGAGGGUGUUACCGACACGGAUGUCAUCGUCGUGGCCGCGGAUCUGAAGCUACAGUUGAAGCGUGACAAGGCGCAGC